AACGAACGCUGGCGGCAUGCCUAACACAUGCAAGUCGAACGAAGGCUUCGGCCUUAGUGGCGCACGGGUGCGUAACGCGUGGGAAUCUGCCCUUUGCUUCGGAAUAACAGUUAGAAAUGACUGCUAAUACCGGAUGAUGUCGCAAGACCAAAGAUUUAUCGGCAAAGGAUGAGCCCGCGUAGGAUUAGCUAGUUGGUGGGGUAAAGGCCUACCAAGGCGACGAUCCUUAGCUGGUCUGAGAGGAUGAUCAGCCACACUGGGACUGAGACACGGCCCAGACUCCUACGGGAGGCAGCAGUGGGGAAUAUUGGACAAUGGGCGAAAGCCUGAUCCAGCAAUGCCGCGUGGGUGAUGAAGGCCUUAGGGUUGUAAAGCUCUUUUACCCGGGAUGAUAAUGACAGUACCGGGAGAAUAAGCUCCGGCUAACUCCGUG
rnacentral:rRNA from 1 species